UUAAAGCCUACAAAGAAAGAAAGAAAAAGAACUGCUGUUAAAAAAAAAAAAAGGGGGGGUUGGGGAUUUGGCUCAGUGGUAGAGCGCUUGCCUAGGAAGUGCAAGGUCCUGGGUUCAAUUCCCAGCCCCGAAAAAAAGAAAAGAAAAAAAAAAAAAGUAGCCAGGUAUGGUGGUGUAUCCCUUUAAUCUCAGCACGCAGGAGGCAGAGUUUAAGGCCAGCUUGGUAUUUGUGGUGAGCUCUGGGCCAUUCAGGGAUACAUAUGACUUUUUGUGUAGAAUAAAUUAUCUGGUUAAAUAGGGGGUUUUCAGGUGAUGUCAAAUCAUUCAUGCCACAGUUGUGAACUAGAAUAAAGAAAGAUAGAAUGAGUUGAAAAAUGGUGUACGCCUUUCGUCCCAGCACUUGGGAGGCAGAAACAGAUGAAUCUUUGAGUUCUAAGACAGCUAAGGCUACACAGAGAAAACCUGUCUCAAAAAAAAAAAAAAAAA
rnacentral:lncRNA from 1 species